rnacentral:rRNA from 1 species
CUACGGGACGCAGCAGUGAGGAAUAUUGCACAAUGGGGGGAACCCUGAUGCAGCAACGCCGCGUGGAGGAUGACGCAUUCGGUGUGUAAACUCCUUUUAUAUGUCAAGAAAAUGACGGUAGCAUAUGAAUAAGCACCGGCUAACUCCGUGCCAGCAGCCGCGGUAAUACGGAGGGUGCAAGCGUUACUCGGAAUCACUGGGCGUAAAGGACGCGUAGGCGGGUUGGAAAGUCAGGUGUGAAAUCCUACAGCUUAACUGUAGAACUGCACUUGAAACUUCUAAUCUAGAGUAUGGGAGGGGGAGAUGGAAUUAGUGGUGUAGGGGUAAAAUCCGUAGAUAUCACUAGGAAUACCUAAAGCGAAGGCGAUCUCCUGGAACAUUACUGACGCUAAGGCGUGAAAGCGUGGGGAGCAAACAGGAUUAGAUACCCCGGUAGUC